rnacentral:rRNA from 1 species
AGAGUUUGAUCAUGGCUCAGGAUGAACGCUGGCGGCGUGCUUAACACAUGCAAGUCGAACGAACCUUCGGGUUAGUGGCGGACGGGUGAGUAACGCGUGAGAAUCUGCCCUCAGGAGGGGGAUAACGGUUGGAAACGACCGCUAAUACCCCAUAUGCCUAUUGGUGAAAUGAAUUUCGCCUGAGGAUGAGCUCGCGUCUGAUUAGCUAGUUGGUGAGGUAAUGGCUUACCAAGGCUUCGAUCAGUAGCUGGUCUGAGAGGAUGAUCAGCCACACUGGGACUGAGACACGGCCCAGACUCCUACGGGAGGCAGCAGUGGGGAAUUUUCCGCAAUGGGCGAAAGCCUGACGGAGCAACGCCGCGUGAGGGACGAAGGCCUCUGGGCUGUAAACCUCUUUUCUCAAGGAAGAAGAUAUGACGGUACUUGAGGAAUAAGCCACGGCUAAUUCCGUGCCAGCAGCCGCGGUAAUACGGGAGUGGCAAGCGUUAUCCGGAAUUAUUGGGCGUAAAGCGUCCGCAGGCGGCUUUUCAAGUCUGCUGUUAAAACGUGGAGCUUAACUCCAUCAUGGCAGUGGAAACUGAAAGGCUUGAGUAUGGUAGGGGCAGAGGGAAUUCCCGGUGUAGCGGUGAAAUGCGUAGAUAUCGGGAAGAACACCAGUGGCGAAGGCGCUCUGCUGGGCCAUUACUGACGCUCAUGGACGAAAGCCAGGGGAGCGAAAGGGAUUAGAUACCCCUGUAGUCCUGGCCGUAAACGAUGAACACUAGGUGUCGGGGGAAUCGACCCCUUCGGUGUCGUAGCUAACGCGUUAAGUGUUCCGCCUGGGGAGUACGCACGCAAGUGUGAAACUCAAAGGAAUUGACGGGGGCCCGCACAAGCGGUGGAGUAUGUGGUUUAAUUCGAUGCAACGCGAAGAACCUUACCAGGGUUUGACAUCCUGCGAACCUCUUAGAAAUUUGAGGGUGCCUUCGGGAAUGCAGUGACAGGUGGUGCAUGGCUGUCGUCAGCUCGUGUCGUGAGAUGUUGGGUUAAGUCCCGCAACGAGCGCAACCCACGUUUUUAGUUGCCAGCAUUUAGUUGGGCACUCUAGAAAGACCGCCGGUGAUAAACCGGAGGAAGGUGUGGAUGACGUCAAGUCAUCAUGCCCCUUACACCCUGGGCUACACACGUACUACAAUGCUACGGACAAAGGGCAGCAAACUCGCGAGAGCUAGCAAAUCCCAUAAACCGUGGCUCAGUUCAGAUCGUAGGCUGCAACUCGCCUACGUGAAGCAGGAAUCGCUAGUAAUCGCAGGUCAGCAUACUGCGGUGAAUACGUUCCCGGGCCUUGUACACACCGCCCGUCACACCAUGGAAGUUGGCCAUGCCCGAAGUCGUUACUCCAACCCUUGUGGAGGAGGACGCCGAAGGUGGGGCUAAUGACUGGGGUGAAGUCGUAACAAGGUAACCGUA